rnacentral:lncRNA from 1 species
UGAAAAAGAAAGAUAAGGAAGGAAAAAAAAUUCGAAGAAGCAAAUGUUUAAAAUAAACAACAAAAUAAAAAAUUGCCGUCUUUGUCAUGGCGUGAAUCUGAACACGGUUACUCUAUCGGAUUCAACUAUUAGAAUCGCCAAUUACCAAGCCCUAAAAAGUUUCACUCUUUGGCACUUCAUGUAAAAUGACUAUAUAUUCUAUAUUUCUCCAUUGAUUAUAAUAGUCAUGGUACCAUCACAUUUUACGUAUAUUCAUUACAUUAACAUGUAUAACUCGAUAAAUAAUUUAAAGCUCCAACCAUAUCUUCAUAUUUUCCUGCUUAUAAAUAGGGAGUUAAAAAGUCAUAAACAUAACACAAUAUGGUAGGAAGAAUGAGAGAGAGCUCAGCUUCAGCAAAUGGUUCAUUUACUAGUGCCAUGACACUUAUUGAAGAGGGACUAACCUAUGUUCCCAAGCGUUACGUCCUUCCACCAUCCCUACGCCCCGAUGGAACCCUGUGUAACACAUGCUUGCCAAUUGUGGAUCUAUCCAAUCGGCAACACCCUCUUCUUCGGUCUCAGAUAAUCCAGGAUGUACACCUGGCUUGCAAGAAAUUUGGUUUCUUCCAGGUACUACUUGUCGUGAAGUGUCCAUGAUACCUGCAAUCACGCACUAGCUAGAAUAAGCUAUUUAUUUAUUUCUUCAGUAUACAUAAAGUUCCUAGAGAUAGGGAUCCAAAUAAGAAGAAUAUGCAUGCACCAAGUAACGAAAAAGAUGUCGUCAGAUCGGCAUAUAGAAAGUACUACAUGGUGCAUUAGAGUUCUAAGCUUCAUAUCCCUUUGUCUCAACUCUUCCUUUUUAUUUUCAGUUGAUCUGUUAAAACAGACAUCCUAGAUUUUGAGAUACUUAGGUUGUCUAACAGGAAGAGAAAUAAGACAAUCUUCACAGAUUCACCCUGAACGUAAAAUAACAACAUGCAUGCAAUAAAUGACUUUGCAGGUAGUUAACCAUGGUAUCCCAUUGUCAGUCAUGGACAACGCCAUACAUGCUGCGAGUGAAUUCUUUGAUUUACCAACUCAAGAUAAAAGGCAUCUUUUGACUUCGAAUGUUUGUGACCCCGUAAGAUAUGGUACCAGUCUAAACCAUGUCAAAGACAAAGUACACUUUUGGAGAGACUUCCUCAAGCACUAUGCUAAUCCAACCUCAACUUGGAUUGACUUGUGGCCAUCAAAUCCCAAAUGUUACAAGUAAGUCUUUCAUUGUCGUUGUUGAAUGUGUUUAGCACAUAUGUUUGUUUUAUAGAUGCAUAUUCUUACUGUCCAAGAAAGAUAUAAUUUCUUCAAGAUCCUAAAGAAGUUAUUCAUGCAGGAAGAAAAUGGUAAACUACACUAUGGCAGCACAAAAGUUGCAAGAAGGACUCAUGGAAGUGAUAUUUGAGAGCUUAGGACUAAACACUAAUUACUUACAUGAAGACAUUGCGGAAGGCUCCCAGGUCAUGGCAGUUAAUUGCUAUCCAGCAUGUCCUGAGCCAGAUCUUACACUAGGAUUGCCACCACACACAGAUUAUGGUAUGAUAUCCAUCAUUCUACAAAAUCACCAGGGCUUGCAAAUCAUG